AUUGAACGCUGGCGGCAGGCUUAACACAUGCAAGUCGAGCGGGGUGAUGGUGCUUGCACUAUCACUUAGCGGCGGACGGGUGAGUAAUGCUUAGGAAUCUGCCUAUUAGUGGGGGACAACAUCUCGAAAGGGAUGCUAAUACCGCAUACGUCCUACGGGAGAAAGCAGGGGAUCACUUGUGACCUUGCGCUAAUAGAUGAGCCUAAGUCGGAUUAGCUAGUUGGUGGGGUAAAGGCCUACCAAGGCGACGAUCUGUAGCGGGUCUGAGAGGAUGAUCCGCCACACUGGGACGGGAACACGGCCCAGACUCCUACUGGAGGCAGCGGUGGGGAAUAUUGGACAAUGGGGGGAACCCUGAUCCAGCCAUGCCGCGUGUGUGAAGAAGGCCUUAUGGUUAUAAAGCACUUUAAGCGAGGAGGAGGCUCUGUUGGUUAAUACCCAAGAUGAGUGGACGUUACUCGCAGAAUAAGCACCGGCUAACUCUGUGCCAGCCGCCGCGGUAA
rnacentral:rRNA from 1 species